rnacentral:rRNA from 1 species
UACGAGGGGUGCAAGCGUUGCUCGGAAUUAUUGGGCGUAAAGAGCUCGUAGGCGGUUUGUCGCGUCUGCUGUGAAAACCCGAGGCUCAACCUCGGGCCUGCAGUGGGUACGGGCAGACUAGAGUGCGGUAGGGGAGAUUGGAAUUCCUGGUGUAGCGGUGGAAUGCGCAGAUAUCAGGAGGAACACCGAUGGCGAAGGCAGGUCACUGGGCCGCAACUGACGCUGAGGAGCGAAAGCAUGGGGAGCGAACAGG